rnacentral:tRNA from 1 species
GGAGGCGGAUAGGUGCUGGUGUGCCUGCUGGACUUCAAAUCCAGUCGGUCUGCACUCUGUGGACUGGUAGGUUCGAUUCCUACACGCCUCCGCCA